AAUACUAUUAAAAAGGAAAGAGUUUUAAUAAAUCUACUUAAAAAGGUUGUUUGGACCUUUUUAUUAACUAAUGAUAUUUUGGUCUUUCUUUGAUUUGGACAAACAAUGUUACCUUAAAUUUUUCUAACAAUUAUUUAGUCAAAAUUUUUAUUUAUUGGACCUAUUAUACCAUAUAUAUACGACUACAUAAAUUUAAUUCACAAAAAUAUAAUAUCACAUACGUUUUAUUAUAUUCUUCUCUAAAUAUGUCUCAUUAACUUCAUAAUUACGAUAAAUUUAAAAAUUAUAUAUUAUGUUAAUUUUAUUUUAUUGAUAAAUAACAAUUUAGUAUUUAAGAUAAGUUUAAAAUUAUCAAAAACCCAACAAAUCUUUUUUUACUGCUCGGCAAAAAAACCUACAAAUAUAUACUAUUAAUUUAGCCAAAAACCUCUCAAAUAAAUCUUAAGUUUCACCAACUGAACAAAUGUAACUUUUAUAAAAUACAUAAAAAUAUAAUGAAAUGUUAGAUUUGGGCAUUUGGGUCUUUGGAUCAAAUAUAAAUCGGUUUCUUUGAGGUACAAGUUCUUUGGGUCUUGGACAUAUCCAACUAGGUAUUUGAAUUUUUUUUUUGUUCAUAUCAGUUCAUUUUAGUUCUAGGUCAGUUUGAGUCCAUAAUUCAAGUAUCUGUAAAAUUUACUAUGUAAUUUGGCUACGUAAUGAGUCUAGCUGUUCGAGUAUUUAGGACAAAAAGAUGUAAAGAUUCUGAAAAUCCAAAAAAUCAGAGCACAAAAAUACCCAAAAUCAAACAAAUACAAGAAAUAACUAAAUAUCUAAAAGACCAAAAUCUUAUCCGAGAACCAAAAAUAUCAAAUAUUUUAAAUAUAUUUUUAAAAUUUGAAAUUUUACCCAAAACCUGAAACUAUAACAGAAAAAGUGAAUCCAAAAUUUACAAUAAUAUGUUUAUACUGAGAACAUAUAUGAAUUACUCAAAUAUACAUAACAUGAACAAAACAUUCUCGGUACUUUGGGUACCCGGAGUCCAACAGAGACCCGCAAGUCCAAAAAAAUCUAAUAGGUACUUUUUCCCAAUCCCGAACAUCAACCUGUAUUUCGUAUUGGUUUGGUUCGUUUAUCAAAUUUGGGUAAAAUUUUUAUACUUAAGAAAUAGUUACAUAAGAGUGUAUAUAAAAAACCUCAAUAAACUUAUUCACAAAUUAUAUAAUUUUAAACAAAUUUUUGUAUUCGAUAUAAUACGACUUUAUAACAUAAUAAUACACAAUAUACUUAAAAUACUAUCUUAUAUCUAACUUCAUAUAUAAUCCAUAAACCCCGCGCUUUCGAAGCGCGGAUCAAAAUCUAGUUGAUAUUUUAAAGCAUCUAAUCACCAUCUAGCGAUUUUUGAACACUGAUCAAAUCUAAUUAUAUAAAAAAUUGUUCGGUUCCCUCCUGCAGUGUCCACGUGGAAAGUCCAUCCCUAUAGGGUUGACACGUGUCUUGCUUCUCCCCAGACCGUGAUUUAUUUUCUCCUUUUUCUCUACUGUUUUGGGCUUCGGUAAACAGGCCCGUAAACAAGAGUGAAGAGGAACCCUAGAUCGCGUUUACAUCGUCGCCUCCGUCCUGUCUUUGCAUUUCCGGUAACGGUUCAGACGAAUCGGGUCGUUGCCACAGGGUUGGGUUAGAUCGGGAGGUCAUUAGAACAGGCGUGUCCUUGGCGAUGGUGCAGGAGACGGAGAAUGACGACCUUGAGCAGGACGUAAAGUUGAGAACUUUGGAGGGUGAUGAUCUCAAAUGGGUCAAUUGGGAAGAGGAAGAUGAUGAUGAAGAAGAUGGAGAAGCGGAGGUUUCGAAACGGAGAUUGAAUUUCAGCGAUCAAGUUCAGCAGACAUCAGCAGCAUAGAUGAUGGUGAGGUGGUACUGAACACAUAGACUGUCAUGGACCAAGUUUAAGCGUUAGUAGGGAUCAAAGCUGAAGAUAGGUUGCUUGACCGAUUGAAAUCUACUAAAACGACUUGAUUUUAGUGCAAUUGGAUUGAUACCACCAUGGAUACGCACCUCUCUGAUCCGAUGGGAAAACAUCUCUGGUAUGCAAUGUAUCCCCAAGAUUUUAGUCCGCCUUUUAGUAAGCUCACUUGCCUUAAGAAUUCCCAGGUCUCUCUUAAACUUUUCUUCAGCAAGUGAUGAUAAGAGAACUCUUCUUCCCAAUGUUCUUGGGAAAUAAAACUCCUAGCCCUUCCUGUUCAGAUUACAUCUCCCUUUGAUGCCUUCCCUAGAUGCAGCUUAUGAUUAUCAGUGUUUCCAUAGACUUUUAUCUAGAUGAAUCUGAUUUAAGAGUUCUCUAAUCUCUGGAUACUUCUAUAAUCCCAAUGCUCCCUUGAAGUUUUGGUUUUGUACAGGUAAAGAGAGUUCUUCACAUUGUGGAGUUGGUGGUAAAAGGAAGCAUAGGCAUUUAAGUUGGAGGAAGGACCUGAAUGGAGAGAAGGAAAAUCAAAGAUUCUCUUUAAUGGCUGGACUGGUAAUGGAAAGAACAAGCGAGAUGGUGAUUCAGAGCCCUCAUCUGGUUCAGCUUCCUGUUAGAAUGUGGGAAAGUCACUAGGCAUAGAUUCACAGAGUUGUCAAGGUACCUUACGAAAAUGCAACUAAUUAUGCAGUAUACUUGGAAGGGUAUGUGAAAGAUAUCUAUAAAUGUUAUUUAGCGAUCCUGAAAAUGCCAAAGCAUUAUAGAAAUAAAGCGAUCCAAGAUUGAAUUAAAUUUUUGUCUUACAUGUAACUAACCUAGAAAAAACUAUAAAUUGAAUGUUGUCGCAUGUUUAACAAGAAAUUGCGAAAGACGGAAGAAGUGAUAAAUAAUUAUAAAUUAAUUUUCUAUCUUUUCGUUAUAAAGAAAAAGGAAUUUCCAGUCAAGUAAUUCAAAAUCAAUAAGACCUUUUUCUUAUCAAACAACUUCCAAAAUAAAAUAUAAAACAGUCGACAUCAUCAAAUAAACAUAAUAAGAAUAUGUGGAAAACUAAAACCAAAUCAAUAAAAACAAAGGAAAUACUCCUACAACUCAUGCAUUUAUUUAGUUAGAAUAUUUGGUAUUAACUUAUAUAUCGAAAUAUGUAUUUUACACUAUAUGUGAUUUUAGAUAUACAUAUAUAUGUGAUUUUAGAUAUAAUUUGAAUAAAAAAUAAAAUAUUAAAAUAAUAAUAAAAGUUAUAAAUGAAUUUUACUUUGAAUAAAAAUAAAUAAUACAAUGUUUUUAUUCUUAUGUAAAUGAGUUAUAUAUAAUAGUUAUUAAUUUAUAAUUUUAGUAGAACCAUUUACAUAAGAAUUUUCUAAAUCUUUAUAAAUCACGGGUUAGCCAAAACCACAGAUUUAAUAAAUUUAUGAAGCCAUGAAAUUUAAUAAUUAUCUAAUAAUAAAUUAUAAAUUAAAAAAUGUAUUCUUAAAUCUGUAUUCUCACAUAUAUACAAAUAUUUGAUUAAUAUACCUAUUAGGUUUCACUAAUACUCUAUCCGUUUAAAAAAAUUAGACAUGUUUUAAAAUUUUCACAUUUUAUAAUAAACCAUAUUAAAAUUUAGUUAUAAAUGCAUAUUUUUUGUACUUUUAUAUUUCCUAUAUUUUUAAACUAAUAAGAUUUUUAAAAAUGCAAUUAAUUUUUUGAACUUCAAAUUUUUUAUUAUUAGUUGACAAAAAUUGCAUUGGAAAUAUAAAAAAAAUUAACUUUUUGAAACAAUUUUUUUUCUCUAGAACAUGCAUCUUUUUGAAAUAGAGGGAGUAUGGGUUAAGAAUAUAAUCUUUUUUUUACAUCAUAAAAAUUUCCUAGGCCUAUUAAACAGAUGCAUUAAUACUUAAUAUUUUAAAUGAAAGAUAAAAAAGUUAAAGAUUAAGUGAGAGAGUAUAUGCAAUUUAUUUAAAUAACUAUGUACUAACCUGAUUGGUAUUUUUGAAAACAUAGUAAUUGUAACACAAAAUAAUAUUUAAUAAUGAAAAAUUAAAUAAAUUGUUCAUAUUUAUUGAGAAUAUUUUUAUUAUAAUUUUACACCGAGUUGUAAUCCAGAAUUAUAUUUUAACUAUAGUUAGCUUUGUAAUAUAUUGUUUUAUGGUAAUAGUUUAAUAAAUAGCAUAGUACAUAGUGAUAUUCUUUAUAGAAGUUUUAGUGUAUUUAACUCCUAUACAACGUUCGUUAUCAAAAAUUAAAAUAAAAAAAGCUCCUAUACAGUGUUUUAAGAAAAAAAAUUUAUUUGGUAUGAAAUAUAUUUUCUAAAUAAGAGAUAAUUUAGUUUUACUAAAAACAGUGAAUAUUUGGUAUUAGCUUUACUUAUUAUAAUUUUAAUAAAAUAUAUUAUAAACAUUAAAUAAAAUAUAAGAAAGAAAAAUUUCCUACGAUAGUUUUUUUUAAGUUUUUGUCAUAAAAACAGCAUUCAACGAAAAAAAUGACCAAAAUAUUUUAUUAAAGAGCAAAAAUACAUCUAGAGUUAAUGGGUUGAGUUAACUAAUCUAUACUUUGUUUUAGAGUUAAUGGGUUGAGUUUUGAGGGAUAGAGUUUCAAAUUUUUAAAAUUAAAAAAUUAAUAUAAAACUUUUCAAAAUAAAAAAAGGCUAUUUUGAUAAUUUUUCUUAUUAAACGUUAUUUUGUGAAAAAAACUUAAAAAAUGUUAUUUAAAAUAAUUGCCAUAUAAAAAAUGUAAUAAACAAAAACAUGAUAUAAAUGACAUAUCAUAUAAACAACAAUCGUAAACAAGCAAAAUAUAUCUUAUCACAUAUAAUCUCUUCUCACAUAAAACUUUCUAAAAGACAAAAAAUCAUUAUUAUAUACAGUUCUUGCAAAUGCAAACCUGAAACACAAAUCAUAAAAUCGUACAAAACUUAAUAACCAUAGAUCACAAUUAAAGUAUAUCCCGCCCGUAGGGCGGGCCGACCCUAGUUAGAUAGAUAAUAAUGGAUAUUGCAAAUAUAACCACAAGGAUGCAUUGUACUUUGUACUAGAAUGUGAUGGGCUCAUUAUAGCCAUUAUUGUUUCAAGUCGACAAAAUAAUUAAUUAAGCUUUGUUAUCGAAAUCUAUAUAUAUAUCUUAAGCAGUGGUUAGUACUACAAGAAUAAUGUCACUUGAUUUGAUGGUGUAGUUUUAGGUUUCUAGUGUUUUUACGUUUAAGCACUCUACAUUCAAAUAAUAAAAACCUGACUUAGACUGGGUUAUGUUUCCCUGUGAUGUUAAAUGUGUUUAUGCUGUCUAUGACUCUAUGUAUUCAAUAUUCAAUAUACAAUAAAUAAUAUACUGAUUGUUAAAUAUGUUGACCAAAGAAAAACCGAUCAUUAUGGAGGUGGAAACAUAAUAAAACAUAUUUAUCUGCUGGCCUAGUCUUCCCAAAUAUGGAAUCCAAAAUUCUUGGAAAGAUAGAAAGAAAAGAUUUGGAUUAUUAUUUUUCAUGUAUAAUUAUCUGUUGUGAUUUUAUGUGCAAAUCUUGCUUCAUACAUGUUUUUAAAACUUUUAUACGAAGAUCUUGCUUUUUGUUAAAAUAUGUUAUCUAAAAACAUAAGAUUGAACAAAGAAGCAGUGUAAACUGUAUAAUCUUUAAUUACUGUAAAUUUUUUGCCUAUUUAUCUUAACAUAAUAUAAUCGAUGGGAUAUAACUGCAAAUAUGUAUACAUUUAUAUUUGUAAAAAUACGGUGAAUCGCAUAAUGAAGUUUCUCUUUCACAAUUCUAUAAUUUACCGAUUACAUUUGUUUAUCCAAGAAAGAUUACCGAAAUGGGGUUUCUAAAAGAUGAAAAUGAGGAAGACAAGAGGAUCUGAUAAGAUUGUAUCUUAACAUCUGUAGCCAUUCAUCCCUUAAGCCAAUUCAGUCGCUUGGUACAGUGUACCAAUGCCAUUAAUAAUUUUAGUUUAAAAUAUAUUCUGAGUUAGUGGAAGUGUUUUUUCACGUAAUUAUUGAUUACGAUACUGAAUAUAUUAAUAGACAAUUAGUCAUCAUGAUUAGCGUCUAAAAAGGAAAUUCGAAACAUGACCCAAUUAAGAAAGAACAAACCUUUAAAGAUACAUAUCAACAUAAGUCUGAACUUUCUGUAUUCACAUUAUGUUUUGAUACAUAUGUAUGAACUUUCGUCAUUGGUGGUUUAAAAUUUCAUAUGGUUCAUUAUUCUUCUUAAUAAGAUAGAUGUUUUGUCGAUUUAAUUUUGAAAUAAUUUAUACAAAAAUGGAAAAUGUUCAUUUGUAGUGAAAAUGACAAUUCGAAUUUUCUCAAACUGAAGAACACAAUUUCUAAGAUUUUUUAGAAGCUCUGAAUAGAUUUCACAAAUCAUCUGAACUCCCAAUCCAAAAUUCAUCUCCAUUACUGGGGUUUAGCUUUCUCGGAAACUCUACUCGUGAAAUGGUCGAAAAUUUGAAAUUGCUUUCUGACCUAAUGGUAGUUGUAAUUAGGAAACUAAACAAUCUUAGGGUGAAAAGCAUUCUUUCAGUGCAAUGAAAAAAAAAAGAGUUAAACUUAUAAGCUUAAACAAUUUGUCAUUUUUUUGAGCUGUAAACGUUUUCUUUGAGAAGGGCCAAGGAACAAAAAUGAAUGUUACUCUUAACCACAUAUUCACGAGUAGAAUCUUUAGCAGAUUGGGUUGUCAUACAUACAAAGGGUGGCUUAUAUGAACAACAGAAUUAAAUGUUUAAUUCAUGAAAUUAAUAGAAAGGGAAAAAGUAGGUCUGACAUAAGAAUUCAUUGGACAAAAUAGUCACACACACAACACAUAUGGCCUUUUCCCCGGCUGUGUUACACACGCGCCACCUUUGAAAAGCCGGUUUAAAUCGAAGACCUCUCAAUCUGUUUACAGAUUUGACAGACCAGGUGUGCUCUUUUACCCAGUCACUAUAAAACACGUGUUUGAAACUCUGUAGAACUCUUAGCAAGGAGCCAAGGAUUGGACCAAACAAAACAAAAGAAAGAAGAUCUCUCUCUCUCUCUCUCUCUCUCUCUCUCUCUCUCUCUCUCUCUCUCUCUCUCUCUCUCCCCUUUAUAUACCGACUGUGUCGCCAUUGGCAGAAAGCAAUGCUCAUCAAACAGCUAGAUCUCUGAGAAUUAAAAUACGAUCGAAUUGAGGAUUUUCUCUUGUGUUCACUAGGGUUUGGAGAGAUCUGUGAGAACGGGGAGUUAGGAUGAGAGAUUUUGAGUCUUUUUGCACGGAAAAUCUAUGUGGGUUUUAUUUAAUUAUAAGUUGCUAGAAGACAGAGAAGAAAUGCAACAGAGAAAACUGACAGAAGAGAGUGAGCACUUGCAAGGCACUGUUAUGUGUCAAUAACUUUGCGUGUGCGUGCUCACCUCUCUUUCUGUCAGUUGCCUGACUUCUCGCUUUCUCUCUCUCUUCUCUCAACUUUGUUGGCCUUUUUAUCAUCUACAUAUCACUUACCUUCUUAUCAUCUCUUUUGUUGUGCACUGGAAUGGUGAUGUGGAUAAGACUGACGCCCUUUCAUUAUCAUUUCGUUACGGGUUACGUUUUUUUCUUUAGCUUUUUUUCGUUACGGGUUGCGGGUUCUUGCGGGCAUAUUCUCUAGAAUGUUUCUUCUCAAGCAGUUUGGUGGAGUAAAGCUCAGAUUUAUAGAUCAGAUUUUGUGAAGUGUGCUAUAUUGUUUUCUUCUACCGGAUCUAGGAAAAGCGCGAGUUUUGAUGAUCAUGAACCCCCACCGGAGAAUGAGAUCAAUAUCAAGUGGGAAGAUACUUCAAAUAUAUAAAUUUCAACGUUGAAAGUGUAGCAAUCAGAGACGCGUUUCUCAGUCAUGGUGGAUUCAAUGGGGUUUCUUGACUUGAAACUAAAGAUUGGCAAGAGCACUUGUUGGUUACUCUAUUCUGAGGCAUUUGUCGAUUUCUCUCUGCUUUUUGUAGUCAAGAACUUGGUUCAUGUGGAUGGUGUCAGUUUGAAGGUCUUAGCGUAAAAGAUGAUACGCCAAAAUCUGUCAUGAAAGUGCUUCAGUAAUCCAAUCCUCAGAGACUCAGAAACAGCAAAAGAGGGGAAUCAUAACAUAAGAAGCAAGGGGGUGUAUGGAAAAGGUGUUCUCGAUAUAAUCAAGUACACUAUCUUGAUAACAAACAUUCAAGAUGGGUAUAGUAUUUUGUCCUUGGUUUAAAUUUAGGGUUCAUGAAAGUGAUUAAUCAGUAGACAUGAUUUUGUUUUGAACUAAUGCUCUGAAAUAAGUUAGUCAUUCACUAGUUAGUCUUACCAAUAAUAACAUGGAAAUAGAAAGAGGACAACUACAAGGGCAAGUUCUCUUCCAAAAACACUUGGCAUCUAAUGCUGUGUUAUGCUUAUGGAGCCCAAAUGCGUGGUUCACACAUGCAACGCUCAAAUACACCCAUUAAAAGAUAAGUGGGGUCUUCCGUUUUCAUUCUUUGUUUUGUCUGAUUAAUCAUUCUACCCUCUUACUGCAAUUCAAGGAUAUGAUAGGUGUAGCACUGAAUGGCUUGAUGAUCAGUCGAUGGAAAGGGCUUAAGAGAUUCUAAAAGCAGAAGAUGGAGACUGGUAAGUCUGCUACGCAGCUCAUAGACACUCUUGUUCUUGAUACAGGCGCAUUGAGGUUAGAUUACACCCAUUCUUCACCUAUACACUAAGUAAGGGUCCAGACGAAGCCAAGAGAGUUGCAAGGACAUUUCAGCAAAACCAUCAAAUACAUUGAAUAUACCACUGCAUAUCCAAGUAUUUUUUUUAAUAUCUGCAUCUAGUCCAAUGAAAUGGAAAACAUCUGAGAGGAAAAACUGUGAUGAUUCAAGAACAUAUAUAUAUAUCGAAAAAGACUGCAUCAGCGGAGCCAAGGAGUACUAUAGCUUCACUUGCAUUACGGGUUUUAAUACGUGGGUGAACCGAGGUUCAACGAAUGGUAGUAAGAGUGUCAGAGAAAUAGAAGAUGGGUUUCUUCUUCACAGAGUUAGCUUCUCACACUUUGUUACUUAUACUAUCAACUUGUCAGGACAAGUCAUAGAACACAAGAAUAGUUAAGCAAAGGAAAAGAGACCAUCUAAGACUUCAUAUUAUUUGUGUGUUGUACUCCAUUGUUGUACACUGUGUAAAGCACAAACAUUUUAAAGGUAUUCUAUAUUUUCUCAGUUA